UACAGAGGGUGCGAGCGUUGUCCGGAAUCACUGGGCGUAAAGGGCGCGUAGGUGGUGACCUAAGCGUGCGGUGAAAGCCCGAGGCUCAACCUCGGGUCGGCCGUGCGAACUGGGUCACUGGAGCAGAAUAGAGGCAGGUGGAAUUCCGGGUGUAGCGGUGGAAUGCGUAGAGAUCCGGAGGAACACCAGCGGCGAAGGCGGCAUCCUGGACUGGUCCUGACGCUCAGGAGCGAAAGCGUGGGGAGCGAUCCGG
rnacentral:rRNA from 1 species